AAACUGCAGCUCAUAGAUAGCUUACUUUCUGAAUAAUAACCUUUCUCUCUACUAGGUCACUGGACAUUGCUUUUACUCCAUAUCUAAGAGUGCAUUAACCAGAACAAUGAAUAUUCUCUCAGCAGCACUCUACACUUCAUUUGCAGAACUCAAAAGUGCAUCAGAAGCCAAGAGAAAAGCUAUUUCGUAGAUGUUCUUGCACUAGGAGUAACCGGACAACAUCUCUAAAGCUAUCCAGGAACUGGCUAUCUCGAAGAGCUGACUUCUCCAGCUAUAUCUCAGGAUCUGUUACCAGGUCAAGAGGAAGAAAUACAUUAUACGUCAGACAUCUCAGUAGGUUUUUCAAGGAAUUUCUAAACCAGGCAUCUUGUCUUGAACUAGUAGUCUUCCCAGCCACUUCAUUAAGCCACUUCUUGACUAAAGCCAAUACAAUCACAGAAGGGAGAAGGGUCAGCAGCUAAGUCAACAUGUUAACUUGGCACACACAGCAUUAAUUUUGAAGGAGGCUAACUGCUAAAAAGGGAUUUUCCAAAUAUCACAAAGGAAACAUUUAAUUACAUUUGGGCCUGCUGAGCAUUCAAAGCCUAGUAAAACUAGUCAAAAGUGAGUUGAGAAU
rnacentral:lncRNA from 1 species